ACGCGAGGAACCUUACCAGGUCUUGACAUCCUCUGACACUCCUAGAGAUAGGACGUUCCCCUUCGGGGGACAGAGUGACAGGUGGUGCAUGGUUGUCGUCAGCUCGUGUCGUGAGAUGUUGGGUUAAGUCCCGCAACGAGCGCAACCCUUGAUCUUAGUUGCCAGCAUGUUAAUCUGGGCACUCUAAGGUGACUGCCGGUGACAAACCAGAAGAAGGUGGGGAUGACGUCAAAUCAUCAUGCCCCUUAUGACCUGGGCUACACACGUACUACAAUGGCCAGUACAACGGGAAGCGAAGCCGCGAGGUGGAGCCAAUCCUAAAAAGCUGGUCUCAGUUCGGAUUGCAGGCUGCAACUCGCCUGCAUGAAGUCGGAAUUGCUAGUAAUCGCGGAUCAGCAUGCCGCGGUGAAUACGUUCCCGGGUCUUGCACACACCGCCCGU
rnacentral:rRNA from 1 species